rnacentral:misc_RNA from 1 species
GAUGAAGAACGUAGCGAAAUGCGAUAAGUAGUGUGAAUUGCAGAAUUCAGUGAAUCAUCGAAUCUUUGAACGCACAUUGCGCCCCUUGGUAUCCCGAGGGGCAUGCCUGUUCGAGCGUCAUUUCACCACUCAAGCCUGGCUUGGUGUUGGGCGACGUCCUCUUUGGGGACGCGCCUCGAAACGCUCGGCGGCGUGGCACCGGCUUUAAGCGUAGCAGAAUCUUUCGCUUUGGAAGUCGGGGCCCCGUCUGCCGGAAGCCCUGCUCGCAAGGUUGACCUCGGAUCAGGCAGGGAUACCCGCUGAACUUAAGCAUAUCAAUAAGCGGAGGA